AAACCAUGAUGAGAACAUUGUCUUAAUAAAGCUUUGAAUUAGCCCCAUGCUUCAAAUAGUAAUUCUCCAUCUACCUGAGAAAAAAAAUUUAUGAUGUAAUUUC